CACGUAGGAGGCGAGCGUUGUCCGGAAUCAUUGGGCGUAAAGAGCGCGCAGGCGGCUUGGCAAGUCGGGUGUGAAAUCCCGGGGCUCAACCCCGUGACUGCAUCCGAUACUGUCAGGCUAGAGGUAGGUAGGGGAGAUCGGAAUUCCUGGUGUAGCGGUGAAAUGCGCAGAUAUCAGGAGGAACACCGGUGGCGAAGGCGGAUCUCUGGGCCUUACCUGACGCUCAGGCGCGAAAACUAGGGGAGCGAACAGG
rnacentral:rRNA from 1 species